UUGCUUAGUUCAACACCAUACUUGCUGAAAUUAGAAUAAUGUAGAGAAGUUUACUAUGGCCCCAGAACAAGAAUUACAUGAAAAUUUAUGAUACUGUCUGUAUUAUA
rnacentral:snRNA from 1 species